UAACAAAAACAUGUCCUUUUGAAUAAUAAUUUAAGGUUGGCUCUGCCCUCUGAGUUACUACUUUAAAGGCUGCAGUAUCCUGACUGUGCAAAGGUAGCAAAAUCAUUUGCUUCUUAAUUAGAAGCUGGAAUGAACGAGUUGAUGAGAUAUAAUCUGUCUCAGUUUAGUAUAAUGAACUUGAAUUUUGAGUUAAAAUGCUCAAAUUCUAUUAUUAGACGAUAAGACCCUGUAGAAUUUUACAUUAAUUAACUUACUUACUUCUUACUUGAUUCUUAAAUUUAAGUAGUUUUUGAUGUUUGGUUGGGAGGACUAUUAAAUUAGAUUAACUUUAAUAAUUGUGUACACAAUAAUUUUUGAUUAAGUGAUUUUUUAAUAAUUAUUAGAUAAAAUUACCUCAGGGAUAACAGCGUAAUACUUCUGGAGAGGUCUUAUCGAUAGAAGUGAUUGCGACCUCGAUGUUGAAUUAAGAUAAAAACUAGGCGUAGAAUUUUAGUAUUUAAGU
rnacentral:rRNA from 1 species